rnacentral:tRNA from 1 species
AGGGAUAUAGCUCAGUGGUAGGGCACUUGCCUAGCAUGUAUGAGGCCCUAGGUUAAAUUUCUAGUACUGCCA